GCAAUAACAAUUGCUAGCCGUUGUACCACGACAUCAUAAGCAUUACAGUUUGCCUAAUUCCGUGAGCAAAAAGGUCCAUUUUAGCCCUCAGGUUCAAACCGGUGCAAAGCAGAGUCAUUAUCAGUCACGGCCUCGACAAUUUGUUUCAGGUACCCCAGCUGCAAAUACUCUUUGUUGGCAUCUAGCAUCCGAAACUAAAUCUACUUAUCUACAUUGAAAAGGAAUUCAAGCUCUAUGAGCAUUGAUGAUCCGAAAACUUCGGGUCGUGCUAUUGCGUCUUCUCAUGCAUCGAGUAUGUCGAAUUGGGUUUGGUUGACCCAUAACGAUGUUUUGUCUUUUUAUAAUUGCCAUUUUAGUCGCUGAGGAUAAUGUGGAGGGUCCGAGGACAGUAAUGUCAUUUCGGUCGUUCGAUAAUCCUAGACAAGAGGUUGUCCAGGCUCCUAUACGUAGCAAGAGUGUUUUAUCGUCUUUUUUUUUUGUGAACAAAAGACACCAAAACUAAGGACCUGGUUGGUUUCAUGAACAAAAGGAACCCUGAACGUUGAACAUGCGCUAUUGAUCUCCCAUCGAGUACUCCUUAUAACAAGAAGGUGUAUAUUUCCUGCUCCCUUUUCAGUUUGUUUGUGAAAUUUGUGUAUGUAAUAUGAGGUGGUCUCACAAUUUAAUAAAAUUCUAGUAAAGUGUUUCGAUUCAACCAUUUUCUUUUAAUAAUUUGUUUAGGCUUUGAAGUUUGUUUGCUUUUGAGAUUUACGUUCCAACUUGUAACAUUUUUCA